AGAGGUUACAGCUCGGGGCAGAGCGCAUGCUUAACGUGCAUGAGGUCCUGGGUUCAAUCCCCAGGCCCUCCA
rnacentral:tRNA from 1 species